rnacentral:rRNA from 1 species
CUCGUAGGUGGCUCUGUAAGUCGGAGGUGAAAGACCACGGCUCAACCGUGGAAACGCCUUCGAAACUGUGGAGCUUGAGGCUGGGAGAGGAAAUCGGAAUUCCUGGUGUAGCGGUGAAAUGCGUAGAUAUCAGGAGGAACACCGGUGGCGAAGGCGGAUUUCUGGACCAGUUCUGACACUGAGGAGCGAAAGCCAGGGGAGCAAACAGGAUUAGAUACCCUGGUAGUCCUGGCUGUAAACGAUGGGCACUAGGUGUGGGGGGAUCGACCCCUUCCGUGCCGCAGUUAACGCAUUAAGUGCCCCGCCUGGGGAGUACGACCGCAAGGUUGAA